rnacentral:lncRNA from 1 species
UUUCAUUCAUCUCUCUUCGUUCUUUAUUAUUAUUACUUAAAACAUGAAUGAGUAAAUUAAGCCCUUUCAUUUCAAGUAGUAAAUGAGGCUUGACCAGUCGAUCCUCCUUCCAAAAUCCUUUCACUUAUCAAUAGCAAUUGCGUGGUGGCUAGGGAGUAGGGACCCAUAUCUAUACCAGGUAUGCACCCCGGCAAACGCCUCUCCCUCUUCGUCUUCUUUGUCUCCAUUAAAUUGUUGGAUAUAUGCCCUAGAGGCAAUGAUAAAUAGUUAUUAUAAUAUUUCCUGUUUAAAGAUAAUCGUUUAU